AUCAUCUUCAGACAGAUGGG
rnacentral:snRNA from 1 species